UACGUAGGGGCGAGCGUUAUCCGGAAUUAUUGGGCGUAAAGAGUGCGUAGGUGGUUGUUUAAGCGUGGGGUGAAAGGCAAUGGCUUAACCAUUGUGAGCCUCGCGAACUGGGCGACUUGAGUGCAGGAGAGGAAAGCGGAAUUCCUAGUGUAGCGGUGAAAUGCGUAGAUAUUAGGAGGAACACCAGCGGCGAAGGCGGCUUUCUGGACUGUAACUGACACUGAGGCACGAAAGCGUGGGGAGCAAACAGGAUUAGAUACCCUGGUAGUCCCU
rnacentral:rRNA from 1 species